rnacentral:rRNA from 1 species
UACGUAGGUGGCGAGCGUUGUCCGGAAUUACUGGGGUGUAAAAGCGCGUGUAGGCGGCAGGCCAAGUCGGUGGUGAAAGCGCCCGGCUCAACUGGGCGAGGUCCAUGGAAACUGGUCAGCUGGAGGACGGUAGAGGCGAGUGGAAUUCCCCGGUGUAGUGGUGAAAUGCGUAGAGAUCGGGGAGGAACACCUGUGGCGAAGGCGGCUCGGCUGGGCCGGUCCUGACGCUGAAACGCGAAGGCGUGGGGAGCGAACGGGG